CGGGAGCUUCCGGUCUGGGCGGUGGCGGGCCGGCUUGAAGCUGCGCGCGGGCGAGGCAUGUCGGAGGGACGCGCGGCGCCGGGGAGCGCCGCGCCGCUGGAGGAGUUGAGGAGCUGGCCCGAGGAGCUGUGUCGCCGGGAGCUGCCGUCCGUCCUGCCGCAGCUCCUCUCUAUGUAUCAGCAUUCCGACAAUUGGAUUGAGGAUAUUCAAAUUCUGAAAAUUAUUGUGGAAAUGUUUUUACCUCAUAUGAACCACCUGACACUGGAAGAGACUUUCUUCUCACAAGUGCUGCCAAAGACUGUGAAAUUAUUUGAUGACAUGAUGUGCGAGUUAACCAGUCAAGCCAGAGGACUGUCAAGCCAUAAUUUAGAAAUCCAGACCACUCUAAGGAAUAUUUUACAGACAAUGGUACAGCUCUUAGGAGCUCUUACAGGAUGUGUUCAGCAUGUCUGUGCCACCCAGGACGCCAUCAUUCUAGAAAAUAUUCAUAGUCUUCCUUCCUCAGUCCUACAUGUAAUCAAAAGUACAUUUGUACAUUGUAAGGAUAGUGAAUCUGUCUAUUCUGGGCAUUUACACCUAGUUUCAGAUCUUCUCCAGGCUCUUUUCAAGGAGGCUUAUUGUCUGCAAAAGCAGCUAAUGGAACUCCUGGAUAUGGUUUGCAUGGACCCUUUAAUAGAUGAAAAUGAUGAUAUUUUGAAUAUGGUAAUAGUUAUUCAUUCAUUGUUGGAUAUCUGCUCUGUUAUUUCCAGUAUGGACCACGCGUUUCAUGCCAAUACGUGGAAAUUUAUAAUUAAGCAGAGCCUUAAGCACCAGUCGGUUAUAAAAAAUCAGCUGAAACACAGAGAUAUAAUUGCCAGCUUGUGUGAAGACAUUCUUUUCUCCUUCCAUUCUUGUUUACAGUUAGCUGAGCAGAUGACACAGUCAGAGGCACAGGAUAAUGCGGACUAUAAAUUAUUUCAGAAAACACUCAAAUUGUGUCGUUUCUUUGCCAACUCUCUUUUGCACUAUACUAAGGAAUUUCUUCCUUUACUUUCUGAUUCUUGCUGUACACUGCACCAGCUUUAUCUUCAGAUACACAGCAAAUUCCCUCCAAGCCUAUACGCUGCCAGGAUCUCUAAAGCGCAACAGGAGGAAAUAGCAGGCGCUUUCCUAGCUACAUUGGACCCGCUCGUCAGUCAGCUUCUCACCUUCCAACCUUUCACGCACGUGGUUUUAGACAGUAAAUUAGAGCUGCCAUGUGACCUACAGCUCCCACAGUGUCUUCUGCUGGUUGUCAUCAUGGAUAAGCUGCCGUCUCAGCCCGACCACGUGCAGGCGCUGUGGUGCACGGAGAGCCAGCUCCCGGAAGCUGCAGCCAGGAUAUCUCUGUUCAAAGCUGUUUUCUGCAGUUUUGAGCAAUGUGCUGGUGAACUCUCUCUGCCUGUUUAUCUGCGAGGAGUAAAGAGUAAAGGGCAAGUGGAAGUUGCCGUCACCCUGUAUCAGCACGUUUGUGUUCAUCUCUGUGCAUUUAUCACUUCCUUUCAUCCCUCCUUGUUCCCUGAACUGGAUGUUGCUCUGUUGAAUGCUGUGCUCAGUGCUAAUAUGAUCACGUCUCUGUUAGCUAUGGAUGCAUGGUGCUUCCUUUCCCGAUACGGGACUGCUGAACUCUGUGCACACCAUGUCACCAUAGUGGCUCAGCUGAUAAAAUCUUGCCCCGGAGAAUGCUACCAGCUCACCAACCUGUCCAUACUGUUGAGGCGACUCUUCUUCUUCAUGGCCCCACCCCAACAGGUGGAGUUUGUCCAGAAGUUUUCCCCCAAAGCAGCAGAAAACCUGCCUCUCUGGCAGUGUAUUUCCCUCCAGGCGUUACCCGCUGAGCUGCAGAAGCAAACGGUACAUGACGUCACCAGAGUUGGGACUGCACGGUGUCAGGAAUGGCUCAGCAGUAGCCGGACUUGGGGAGAACUUGAAUCUUUGAACACGCUGCUGUCUGCGUUGCUUGCUGCGUGUAAUUCCGCCCGUGAAGCUCUGGAUAUUCCACAGCAAACUGCGGUUAUGGAGACUGGGAGUCAGCUCUGGGCUUUUUUAAACACUAACCUGGUAACAGGUCAGCCGCACGUUCAGCAGACGCUUAGUCUUUUACUUCCACUAUUGGGAUUUUUCGUUCAGACUCUAGAUCCUCAUCUGAUAAGUCAGGUAGUAACUUUGCAGACUUCACUGCUUAAAUUAGAGCCUCCUGACCAUGUUUGUUUGGCAGUGCUUGAUUUUGUAUCUUCUCUAGGAAAGUUUUUCAUACCUCAAGCUUUCCAGGACAAACUUCUGCCCAGCCUGUCUUCUAUUUUUGCCUUACUGCUGGCUGACAGGAAUUGGAUAGUAGAACAACAUUCCUUGGAGGCGUUUACUCAGUUCGCAGAGGGAACAAAUCAUGAAGAGAUAGUUCCACAAUGUCUCCGUUCUGAAGACAUAAGGAACAAAGUUGUAUCCUUUCUGGAGAAGACCGGGCUUGUAGACGAAACUGCAGUUGCCAGAGUGGAACGUGUGAAACAGGAAAAAGGCAUUUUCCGGGAACACUUUGCUACAGUUGCUGUAGAAGCAGCAAAGUGGUCGUCUCUACAGCCUGAUGCAAAGAGAGCCCGUCGGGAGUUCCCCUUGGAAGAAGAGUACAGGUCGGCGCUGCAGGCGGCAUCAGGGGCCUUGGAGGCAGUAGAGUCCUUACUCCAGAAGGCUCCGGCUCCAGACUGGCUUCCACUGAAGAUGGAGAUGCUCCAGGAAAGGAUUGAUGAGCUGAGACGACGCGUACUCUAGGGUGGCUCUUGAAUGGACCGGACCGGGUCACCAGACAGAGCUAGGUACGAUUUUCACCAUCCUACACUGUACUCUGUAGCAGUAACUUCAGCCUUUGCGCAGCUACCUGCUCUUCAUAGAAACUGGCCUCAGACGCACACGGGCUCCUCCUCCACGAACCCAGCGCCGCGCCUCUCCGCGGGGCGCCAGCCAGCACUCAGGGGGCUCGAGCUUCAGUCGGCAAAAACGG